rnacentral:rRNA from 1 species
GACGAACGCUGGCGGCGCGCCUAACACAUGCAAGUCGAACGAGCGAGAGAGAGCUUGCUUUCUCGAGCGAGUGGCGAACGGGUGAGUAACGCGUGAGGAACCUACCUCAAAGAGGGGGACAACAGUUGGAAACGACUGCUAAUACCGCAUAAGCCCACAGCUCGGCAUCGAGCAGAGGGAAAAGGAGCAAUCCGCUUUGAGAUGGCCUCGCGUCCGAUUAGCUAGUUGGUGAGGUAAUGGCCCACCAAGGCAACGAUCGGUAGCCGGACUGAGAGGUUGAACGGCCACAUUGGGACUGAGACACGGCCCAGACUCCUACGGGAGGCAGCAGUGGGGAAUAUUGCACAAUGGGGGAAACCCUGAUGCAGCGACGCCGCGUGGAGGAAGAAGGUCUUCGGAUUGUAAACUCCUGUUGUUGAGGAAGAUAAUGACGGUACUCAACAAGGAAGUGACGGCUAACUACGUGCCAGCAGCCGCGGUAAAACGUAGGUCACAAGCGUUGUCCGGAAUUACUGGGUGUAAAGGGAGCGCAAGCGGGAAGACAAGUUGGAAGUGAAAUCUAUGGGCUCACCCCAUAAACUGCUUUCAAAACUGUUUUUCUUGAGUAGUGCAGAGGUAGGCGGAAUUCCCGGUGUAGCGGUGGAAUGCGUAGAUAUCGGGAGGAACACCAGUGGCGAAGGCGGCCUACUGGGCACCAACUGACGCUGAGGCUCGAAAGUGUGGGUAGCAAACAGGAUUAGAUACCCUGGUAGUCCACACCGUAAACGAUGAUUACUAGGUGUUGGAGGAUUGACCCCUUCAGUGCCGCAGUUAACACAAUAAGUAAUCCACCUGGGGAGUACGACCGCAAGGUUGAAACUCAAAGGAAUUGACGGGGGCCCGCACAAGCAGUGGAGUAUGUGGUUUAAUUCGACGCAACGCGAAGAACCUUACCAAGUCUUGACAUCCCUUGACGAACAUAGAAAUAUGUUUUCUCUUCGGAGCAAGGAGACAGGUGGUGCAUGGUUGUCGUCAGCUCGUGUCGUGAGAUGUUGGGUUAAGUCCCGCAACGAGCGCAACCCUUACUGUCAGUUACUACGCAAGAGGACUCUGGCAGGACUGCCGUUGACAAAACGGAGGAAGGUGGGGAUGACGUCAAAUCAUCAUGCCCUUUAUGACUUGGGCUACACACGUACUACAAUGGCGUUAAACAAAGAGAAGCAAGACCGCGAGGUGGAGCAAAACUCAGAAACAACGUCCCAGUUCGGACUGCAGGCUGCAACUCGCCUGCACGAAGUCGGAAUUGCUAGUAAUCGUGGAUCAGCAUGCCACGGUGAAUAAGUUCCCGGGCCUU